CCUACGGGUGGCUGCAGUGGGGAAUAUUGGACAAUGGGCGAAAGCCUGAUCCAGCCAUGCCGCGUGUGUGAAGAAGGCCUUCGGGUUGUAAAGCACUUUCAGUGGGGAAGAAAGCCUUGGGGCUAAUACCCUCGAGGAAGGACAUCACCCACAGAAGAAGCGCCGGCUAACUCCGUGCCAGCAGCCGCGGUAAUACGGAGGGUGCGAGCGUUAAUCGGAAUUACUGGGCGUAAAGCGCGCGUAGGCGGUCUGAUAAGCCGGUUGUGAAAGCCCCGGGCUCAACCUGGGAACGGCAUCCGGAACUGUCAGGCUAGAGUGCAGGAGAGGAAGGUAGAAUUCCCGGUGUAGCGGUGAAAUGCGUAGAGAUCGGGAGGAAUACCAGUGGCGAAGGCGGCCUUCUGGACUGACACUGACGCUGAGGUGCGAAAGCGUGGGUAGCAAACAGGAUUAGAUACCCGGGUAGUC
rnacentral:rRNA from 1 species